rnacentral:rRNA from 1 species
AUUGAACGCUGGCGGCAGGCCUAACACAUGCAAGUCGAACGCGUGCCGGACGGGUGAGAAAUGUCUGGGAAACUGCCUGAAGGCGGGGGAUAACUACUGGAAACGGUAGCUAAUACCGCAUACCAUCGGAUGUGCCCAGAUGGGAUUAGCUCGUAGGUGGGGUAACGGCUCACCAAGGCGACGAUCCCUAGCUGGUCUGAGAGGAUGACCAGCCACACUGGAACUGAGACACGGUCCAGACUCCUACGGGAGGCAGCAGUGGGGAAUAUUGCACAAUGGGCGCAAGCCUGAUGCAGCCAUGCCGCGUGUAUGAAGAAGGCCUUCGGGUUGUAAAGUACUUUCAGCGGGGAGGCGUUACCCGCAGAAGAAGCACCGGCUAACUCCGUGCCAGCAGCCGCGGUAAUAC